UACGUAGGGUGCAAGCGUUGUCCGGAAUUAUUGGGCGUAAAGAGCUUGUAGGCGGUUUGUCGCGUCUGCUGUGAAAUUUCGGGGCUCAACCCCGAACUUGCGGUGGGUACGGGCAGACUAGAGUGUGGUAGGGGAGACUGGAAUUCCUGGUGUAGCGGUGAAAUGCGCAGAUAUCAGGAGGAACACCAAUGGCGAAGGCAGCACUCUGGGACGUGACUGACGCUGAGACGCGAAAGCGUGGGGAGCAAACAGG
rnacentral:rRNA from 1 species